GCUUUAUUCUGUGGCCUUUGUCAGAAUUUGGAGAUGUUCCUGGUGGAUGGGCCAGGAACCGCUAGGAAUGAACUGGGCAGAAGGGAGGUGACUGUUUCUCAGGACAAGAAGGGAAAUCUCUCGUCUCUCUCCUGAGCUGUGCUGUCUCCAUGCUGCUGACGUCAUAAGGCUUAUUAUGACACGUGAUGAUGUCACAGAAGGAUGUCCUGCAUCACCAGGAUAUAAGCAUUGGUGCAGCGGCAGUGCCGGCACUUCCCUGCAAGGCCUGGUCCCUGCUGGGCACUGCUUGGGUGCUCCCCAGCGCUGUCCUUCUGCGGCCAGGAGUGGGGUCAGCAGGCAGCAAGCUUGCACUGGGCGACCCUCGCUGACGGGCGGAGGAGCAGGGGCACCUUGCAGAGGAGCUGUGGUUGAGGAGCCAGGGCGGGCAUCCCUUGUCCUGAGCUGAGGGCCAGCAGCAAGCGAGAUGGAGGGCUGCUGGAGGGUGACCAUCGCCUCUGAUAUGGUUUCCCAGUUCCCAGUGCUCCUGAAUCUCUCCCCCAAAGAGACUGAGGCUAUCUGGGAUGCUGUAUCCGAGCAAAUUCUGGAAGCGCUGAAGCAGGAUAAGGCUAUUCAGGUUGCGGGACUCGGGACCUUUGCUGUUCUCCAAGAGCAAUUCCACGUCAAGCAAAAGCGGCUCCUGAUUCGCAAACCGUUCUUCCAGCUGGACAUUGAUGAGGGGUGGCUGGAGUACAUGUACUGUCCCCCUGAGAUCCUCCCUGGUGAGAAGGCAGCAGCCCCC
rnacentral:lncRNA from 1 species